UUGUGACUCACGGGGUGCACUAGCAGUGGUGCUGAGAGAAGGUAAUACCUGACACCCGUAUACCUGAUCCAGAUAAUGCUGGCGUAGGGAUGAGAACUCCGUUCUAU
rfam:Vibrio shilonii AK1 1103207001947, whole genome shotgun sequence.